rnacentral:rRNA from 1 species
GACGAACGCUGGCGGCGUGCCUAAUACAUGCAAGUAGGACGCAGUUGCGAACGGGUUAGUAACGCGUAGGUAACUACCUAUUAGAGGGGGAUAACUAUUGGAAACGAUAGCUAAUACCGCAUACCAGUAGAUGGACCUGCGUAGUAUUAGAUAGUAGGUAGGGUAAUGGCCUACCAAGGCAAAGAUACAUAGCCGACCUGGGAGGGAGGUCGGCCACACUGGGACGGAGACAAGGCCCAGAAUCCUACGGGAGGUCGCAGGAGGGAAUCUUAGGAAAUGGGGGGAACCCUGACCGAGCAACGCCGCGUGAGUGAAGAAGGUUUUCGGGUCGUAAAGCUCUGUUGUUAAGGAAGCGGUACUUAACCAGAAAGGGACGGCUAACUACGUGCCAGCAGCCGCGGUAAUAC